UGUGUGCUUAAGCACAAAAAGACCCUGAUAUUUGUCACGAUAAUUUCAUGUUUUUGAAUAGGCACACAGAAGUUGACACAAGCACUCGACAAAAAACAACCACCAAGGGCCUCCAGACGUAGUUGACGAUGCAUGCGUGGAAUUUGUAUUGAAUUACAUUCAAGCGAAUAUACAUAUAAGGAAGUCGGUCUUGCUUACCUUUCUGAGUGCCAAGGCCCAUUUUUCGUCCCAUUGAAACGAACAAAGUCAACAAAUUUGGAAUAUGAAAAAUUGUUUUACGUUCACGAUUCUGAAUGUGAACUAUAGAAAGACGAAUCAAUACCAGCAGCUAGAUGCUGUGGACCUGUUCGAAAUCAAUUAGAAAAGUAAACAAAAAAUACAUCAAUCAACCGUUUCCCAUCAUCCUAGGUAUUAGUGGCCCGGGCGGUAGGUUGAGGAUUCAAAAUGCAAUCAAACCUAACGAAUAAACAGGUGCCGAGAAUCUUGCCGAAGGUUUAAACAUGAGUUGAGAUUUUUAUGCGUGCUGAAAUUUCAGUAGAAAAAAGAAUUUGAGACAAACCAGCUUGUUUAUAAAACUAUAGCCAAUUUUCUGCUAGCCUAUUCGAAUGGACCAGUUUAAAGCUGACAUUUUCAUUCACUUUGCGGUUUUUUGUGCGAGAAAGUUUUAAUUAUUUAUUCUUCCUUAGUACAUAUCAGUUGAGAAUAAAUAUAGCAGUUAGUCUUCACAAAUCGUUUAUAAUAUUAAAUAUAUGCAAAUAAUACAAACAGCACUACGGCAGAAACCCUGAAUCAAUGAAGCGUGACCUCAACGAUGAAAGGAAUAGGAUUACAGCAUUGCUAAAAUGAGAUACGUUUACGAUUUUUAAGAUCACAACAAGACAAUCUGUGAAACUCGUAUUUUAUUAUCCCCAGCAGGUGGCUGGCUCUAAGCCAACAGAUAAUGAGACAUUUGUUUCAAGAUUUCAGUGGCUUCUAAGUUAUGCAGGCCUGUUAGAAAUAGGAACACGAAAACAAACAAAAAACUCACAUUUUUUAGUUUUCCACAAUGAGGAAAGAGCUCAAGAAAAGAUGUUUGUCUGCAUCUGCUGGGACAAAAAUAGGUUAUGGCAGGUAGCAAACUAUCUAGAAAAAUCUAAGUCGGCCACCCACUUUUAUUACUUACUGUGCUCCUGUUAACAAUAAAUAAGCUAAACAAACAACCAA